GGCAAGGUGGCCGAGUGGUUAAGGCGCAGCCCUUAAGUGUUUUACUUAGAAAUGCUGUGGAGAAAUCCUCGCGAGUUCGAACCUCGUCCUUGCCA
rnacentral:tRNA from 1 species